UGGGGGAUAUUGCACAAUGGGCGAAAGCCUGAUGCAGCGACGCCGCGUGGGGGAUGAAGGCUUUCGGGUUGUAAACCUCUUUCGCUAUCGAACAAGGCCCGCUUAGGGUGGGUUGAGGGUAGGUGGAGAAGAAGCGCCGGCUAACUACGUGCCAGCAGCCGCGGUAAUACGUAGGGCGCGAGCGUUGUCCGGAAUUAUUGGGCGUAAAGGGAUUGUAGGCUGCUUGUUGCGCCUGCUGUGAAAACGCGGGGCUUAACUUCGCGCGUGCAGUGGGUACGGGCAGGCUUGAGUGUGGUAGGGGUGACUGGAAUUCCAGGUGUAGCGGUGGAAUGCGCAGAUAUCUGGAGGAACACCGAUGGCGAAGGCAGGUCACUGGGCCAUUACUGACGCUGAGGAGCGAAAGCAUGGGUAGCGAACAGG
rnacentral:rRNA from 1 species